UGCCAGCCGCCGCGGUAACACGGGGGGCGCAAGCGUUAUUCGGAAUUAUUGGGCGUAAAGGGCGCGCAGGCGGUCUUGUCCGUCAGUGGUGAAAGCCUUCGGCUCAACCGAAGAAUUGCCAUUGAAACUGAUGCUCUUGAGUACGGAUGAGGUAAGCGGAAUUUAUGGUGUAGCGGUGAAAUGCAUAGAUACCAUAAAGAACACCGAUAGCGAAGGCAGCUUACUAGACCGUAACUGACGCUAAUGCACGAAAGCGUGGGGAGCGAACAGGAUUAGAUA
rnacentral:rRNA from 1 species